CCCACAGUAUCUGUGACAGCUCCCUCACAGACUUCUAUGAGAGAACCCGCGCCAUGGACAAAGGUAGCUCCAUUUUGCUUAAAGGGACACUAUAGGGCAGCAGUGACCUUCAGCAUCUCCACGCUCUGCUUAAAAGUAAGGAGAGGGGAGCCUAAACUGUGCUAUAUAUGUUUGUAUUCCUGACAUUAUUGUAUUCCUUUAACCCCUUAAAGACACGACAUGUGUGACAUGUCAUGAUUCCCUUUUAUUCCAG